GGCUCAGGAUGAACGCUGGCGGCGUGCCUAAUACAUGCAAGUCGAGCGAACGGACGAGAAGCUUGCUUCUCUGAUGUUAGCGGCGGACGGGUGAGUAACACGUGGAUAACCUACCUAUAAGACUGGGAUAACUUCGGGAAACCGUAGCUAAUACCGGAUAAUAUUUUGAACCGCAUGGUUCAAAAGUGAAAGACGGUCUUGCUGUCACUUAUAGAUGGAUCCGCGCUGCAUUAGCUAGUUGGUAAGGUAACGGCUUACCAAGGCAACGAUGCAUAGCCGACCUGAGAGGGUGAUCGGCCACACUGGAACUGAGACACGGUCCAGACUCCUACGGGAGGCAGCAGUAGGGAAUCUUCCGCAAUGGGCGAAAGCCUGACGGAGCAACGCCGCGUGAGUGAUGAAGGUCUUCGGAUCGUAAAACUCUGUUAUUAGGGAAGAACAUAUGUGUAAGUAACUGUGCACAUCUUGACGGUACCUAAUCAGAAAGCCACGGCUAACUACGUGCCAGCAGCCGCGGUAAUACGUAGGUGGCAAGCGUUAUCCGGAAUUAUUGGGCGUAAAGCGCGCGUAGGCGGUUUUUUAAGUCUGAUGUGAAAGCCCACGGCUCAACCGUGGAGGGUCAUUGGAAACUGGAAAACUUGAGUGCAGAAGAGGAAAGUGGAAUUCCAUGUGUAGCGGUGAAAUGCGCAGAGAUAUGGAGGAACACCAGUGGCGAAGGCGACUUUCUGGUCUGUAACUGACGCUGAUGUGCGAAAGCGUGGGGAUCAAACAGGAUUAGAUACCCUGGUAGUCCACGCCGUAAACGAUGAGUGCUAAGUGUUAGGGGGUUUCCGCCCCUUAGUGCUGCAGCUAACGCAUUAAGCACUCCGCCUGGGGAGUACGACCGCAAGGUUGAAACUCAAAGGAAUUGACGGGGACCCGCACAAGCGGUGGAGCAUGUGGUUUAAUUCGAAGCAACGCGAAGAACCUUACCAAAUCUUGACAUCCUU
rnacentral:rRNA from 1 species